rnacentral:rRNA from 1 species
UACGGAGGGUGCGAGCGUUAUUCGGAAUUACUGGGCGUAAAGCGCGUGUAGGCGGCAGGGCAAGUCUGGUGUGAAAGCCCGGGGCUCAACCCCGGAAGUGCAUUGGAAACUGCUCUGCUUGAGUACCGGAGAGGAAGGGGGAAUUCCCGGUGUAGCGGUGAAAUGCGUAGAUAUCGGGAGGAAUACCAGUGGCGAAGGCGCCCUUCUGGACGGUUACUGACGCUGAGGCUCGAAAGCGUGGGUAGCAAACAGG